rnacentral:tRNA from 2 species
GGGUAGGUAGCGAAGCGGUCAAACGCAACAGACUGUAAAUCUGUCGACUUAGGUCUUCGGAGGUUCGAAUCCUUCCCUACCCA